rnacentral:rRNA from 1 species
AACGAACGCUGGCGGCAUGCCUAACACAUGCAAGUCGAACGAGAUCUUCGGGUCUAGUGGCGCACGGGUGCGUAACGCGUGGGAAUCUGCCCUUUGGUUCGGAAUAACAGUUGGAAACGACUGCUAAUACCGGAUGAUGACGAAAGUCCAAAGAUUUAUCGCCAGAGGAUGAGCCCGCGUAGGAUUAGCUAGUUGGUGUGGUAAAGGCGCACCAAGGCGACGAUCCUUAGCUGGUCUGAGAGGAUGAUCAGCCACACUGGGACUGAGACACGGCCCAGACUCCUACGGGAGGCAGCAGUGGGGAAUAUUGGACGAUGGGCGAAGACCUGAUCAAGCAAUGCCGCGUGAUUGAUGAAGGCCUUAGGGUUGUAAAGCUCUUUUACCCGGGAUGAUAAUGACAGUACCGGGAGAAUAAGCUCCGGCUAACUCCGUGCCAGCCGCCGCCGUAA